CAAAUACUCCCUCCAUCCGGAAAUACUUGUCAUCAAAAUGGAUAAAAGGAAAUGUAUCUAGACGUAUUUUAGUUUUAGAUACAUCUCUUUUUAUCCAUUUUGAUGACAAGUAUUUUCGGACAGAGGGAGUAGAAA
rnacentral:pre_miRNA from 1 species